UUCUGCUUAACUGACUCUUACAUGUUUAGCUAAGGGGUCAUGAACUCCGGAAAGCCUAUAUGAACUUCCUGUCUGUUUCCUCCCACUCAGUGCUAUAAGAGAAACUACAACUUUUGAAAAUCAAAGAGGAGGGAAAUGAAACACAGAUCCAUAAUAAGAAUGUUUAAUAAAUUGCUAAUGAAGAUUUUACAACUACCUUGGAAAUAAUAUAUAAGAUUAAUUAGAUCAGGAUGAAGCAGUGGCAGCAAAUAAAAGUUCAGAAGUCAAAGGAAAUUAUGGAAUUGCAUAUAUAUAUAUUAAUGAGUACCUGGUUUCAUGUUUGGCACUGUACUAAGAACACAAUCCUAAGUCUCAUAACUCUAAUAGGGUAGGCAUUACUAUCUUCUGAAGCACUGUCACAAAGCCCAGAGGCGUUAUUUACCAAGAUUCAAGAUCUGACCACAAAGCCUGUUUAAUCUCUAUGUCAUAUACUUUUCUAACUCAGCAGCAUCCCCCUAAAAGAAACCAACAUUUACUGAUUGCACACUGAGUGCCACAUAUGAAGUAGGGGUCUUUGCAUAUCAUUACUUUUACCUCCGCAGUAAACAAAAUUUUACUUACAUAAGAAAGAUAAGAACUUAGUUAAAAACUUUUCAUACUUACCCUGACAACAUACUGGUAAAUUAUCACAAGACUGACAGCCAUGGAAACGUUGGCAAGGAAUGAAAGUACAAAUAGAUUCUUUAGUUCACGAAUGAAGACCAAAAGAAUUAUAAAUGGAAGAAAGCAAAGCAUAUAUAUCCUUAGGUCAACACUUCUUCUCUCACAAGGGUUUGAUGAAUUGGUACUAUUUGAAAUAAACACUUUACUCUCCAGGAAUCCUUCAUGAACCUAUACAGGAUUACCAGGAGUAUAAAGAAGGGGGGAAAACUUCAAUCAACUUACAAUCAUAAAACACAUGUACAAAGAAAAUCACAACAUAUACACUCUACAAUAAAUUCCUAUGAUAUAUUUUAAAAUAUUUACAGAACGGCAAAUGUUCCUGCCUGAGCCUUCCUCUGGAAGCUUUGUCUCAGAGGGGGACCCGGCUGUAUGAGAUAUCAGUUGGCCCCUACUGGGAGGCGUCUCCCAGUUAGGCUACUCGGGGGUCAGGAGGUGGAGUCUACAGAGGCAGACAGGCCUCCUUGAGCUGCGGUGGGCUCCACCCAGUUCGAGCUUCCCGGCCACUUUGUUUACCUACUCAAGCCUCAGCAA
rnacentral:lncRNA from 1 species